rnacentral:lncRNA from 1 species
GUCUUCUAGGGUGUCUUGGUGGCCAGGCCUCAUACUGAGGUGCAGCAACAGAGUAUUGAGGGUUCUGAGGUGGAUAAUAUUGCUCAGGGGAGUCAUGGAAAACCUGAGGGAGUGAUCAUACCUUCGAGAUGUUCUCCAGGUAAGGAAUUUUGUUAACCCGGGAGAAGGUGUUAGACACUUCCGAGUUCCGUGGUUCUAGCACGGUCGCUUUGAUCCUACUU